ACACUACACAAAAAAAAAAGAAGACAGAGAGUGAGAGAACCGAGAGAGAGCCAAUAGAAAGCAAGAGGAGGAGUUCAUUUUUACCAUUCUUGUCCAUCCACCACCAAAUCCAACCAUUCUUGAGCCCGAAAGAACUUAACUUUGUAUUGAAAACGUAUCUUUCGGGGUGGUUCGGAGUGUUUCCGGGGAAGAGGAAGCUGCCGGUGGCGGCGAGCGGCCGGUGACAGCAGCGGCUCCUCCCCGUGGCAGCAGCAACGCGGUGACAGCAGCGGCUCCUCCCCGUGGCAGCAGCAACGCGGCGGACAGCAGCGCUCCCCGGCGACUCCAGCAGCGACGCGACGACUUCCGCAGCGACCCGGCGACCCCAGCGAGCAGCACGGGACAGCAGCAGCGACAGCGGGAGUAUAAUGACACUGAGCGAUGCUCGGUGCAGCGGCUACGGCGGCUCCGACGCGAAAGGAGAGGGGAGCGGCGGAAAUUGUAAGAAGAAGAGAGAAAGAGAAGAAGAAGGAGACGUGGAGUGGGUAGAAAAAAAAUGGACUUGGGCCUCUUGUGUUUUCUUUGAUUGGGCAUUUUUAUUUUAGUGGGAGGCUAUUGUUUUAAAGUGGGGCCUUUUUAACUAUAUGGGGCUUAUAAAUUUAAUUGGAAGUAAGAGGUGAGGUAAAUAAUUAA